UGUCUCUUUCUCUCUCUCUCUCUAUUUUCCUCUUCUAUUUAUAUCUAAUGCCAGUUUCUGAUUCUGGUUCAGGGAAACAAUUUCUUAAUUCUAAAGAAAAUUUCGAAGGUUUUGAAGAAGAAGAAGAGGAUACAAAAAAUUUCGGGACAAGCAAAAUGAGGAAGAGGCAAGUGGUGUUGAGAAGAGAGGAGCCAUCAAGAAACUCAACUGCUUCAUCUGUCACAGUGAGGAGUGUGAGGUAUGCAGAGUGCCAAAAGAAUCAUGCUGCCGGUGUCGGUGGUUAUGCUGUUGAUGGUUGCAGAGAGUUCAUGGCCAGUGGAGAGGAAGGCACAGCUGCUGCACUCACUUGUGCUGCAUGUGGCUGCCAUAGAAGCUUUCACAGAAGGGAAGUUGACACUGAGGUCGUGUGUGAGUGCUCUUCACCGUCUUCAACCGCGACUUAACUAGAGAUGAAACUAAAGCUUAAUCAAGGAUUGUUAAUCAGUGGAGGUUAAUUCAUGUCAUGUGUUAACUUUGCUUGUUUCUCUAUAUAUCUGGGUUUGAGGGUUUUGAUCUUAAGUACUUUCUCUCUCUCU
rnacentral:lncRNA from 1 species